GUGAAUAACGACACUGGGCGAUAUUUUCCAUCUGAUAAGACAUGGUCACAAGAAGACUACAACCUGCAUUGAUUGGAAACAACUUUAUCUUGAAAACUUUGCACAUUCUAGAUGCUUGGAAGGUCUUACGAAUUCUUUUCAACAAAGAUUACAAGAUUGGUAUUUAUGAAUGUGGAAGGCAGUGAAACAAGAUUGGUAUUUGUGAAUUAACAGAGCGAAUGGGAAGAUUAAGAGAUAACUGAAGAGAAAAGGCUAAUGAGGUGGCCCUAAGAGAUUUGGAAGCGAGGAUUGUUCUUGAUUAUUUCAUCUCCUAUACCUGGACAAUUUCUGGACUCUGCUUUUUGUGUUUGGAAUAAUGCUAGCUAGACUACACUCUCAUGUUAUUCUGUCUUAAACUUUAGUUUUUUUGACAUGUUAUUCUGCUUAUUGGAUUCAUUAUAAUGAAAAUAAAGCAAACAAGCUAUCUCUUUCA